UACGAAGGGGGCUAGCGUUGUUCGGAUUCACUGGGCGUAAAGGGUGCGUAGGCGGUCGGGUAAGUCUGACGUGAAAUCUUCAAGCUUAACUUGGAAACUGCGUCGGAUACUAUUCGGCUGGAGGAAUGGAGGGGAGACUGGAAUACUUGGUGUAGCAGUGAAAUGCGUAGAUAUCAAGUGGAACACCAGUGGCGAAGGCGAGUCUCUGGACAUUUCCUGACGCUGAGGCACGAAAGCCAGGGGAGCAAACGGG
rnacentral:rRNA from 1 species